AUGUGGCAGUUUUGCAUUCUGUGCCUCUGUGUACUCAUGGCUUCAGUGGCUACAGACACCACAGUGACCUUGCUGGAGCAAAACCCAAGGUGGGGUCUGGUACCACGUGGUCAAGCUGUGAACCUGCGCUGCAUCUUGAAGAAUUCCCAGUAUCCCUGGAUGAGCUGGUAUCAGCAGGAUCUCCAAAAGCAACUACAGUGGCUGUUCACUCUGCGGAGUCCUGGGGACAAAGAGGUCAAAUCUCUUCCUGGUGUUGAUUACCUGGCCACACGGGUCACUGAUACAGAGCUGAGGCUGCAAGUGGCCAACAUGAGCCAGAGCAGAACCUUGUACUGCACCUGCAGUGCAGACACAGUGGUAAACUCUGCUGGUGCAUUGAAACAAAAACCACACACAGACUACUACCCUGCCUUCCAAGCCUUGCUCCUCUGCAAGCCCUUCUGA